AAAAGCUGAUUUGGGGGCAGAAAGCAUGGCUGCGGACGGUGGCUAAGGAAGGGGCAGCAGAGAGCGCUCCUCCUCGGAGCGGAGCUGUUUCUGAGAUCCACAGCCUCUUCGACAGCAGGGAAAGUAAGCACUCACUCGGGACUGGGGAGCUAUUCCAAGGCCGCGGCGCCAUCUGCCUAAUGUCAGCAGAUACCCUGGUCCUCUAGCGGUCGCCAUGGAGCCAGAGGUGAACCGGAACCGGAAAUUUAGGUGCAGUGACCCUCUCACUCGCCGCGGCGAACAUCCUCCGCGGAACGUCGGCGCGGGGCAGAAUCAGCCAAUGAGGAGAAGGAGUGCUUGCUAGUAGCCAAUAAGCAAUCGAUAUGUAAGUCUCCUUGAAGACCGUACGUGCGCCUCAGUUCCGACGGAGCGAGCCGGAAGCGAGGUGGCCUCGACUGUGUGUUGGGAUUUGUCUCCGCCUCCAGAAAUCGAGAGGGCGGGAGGAGAACGCUGAAGUCUUGGGAUUUUUACCUCCUGUGUGAAACGGAGAGAAUGCAGUAUCGGAAAGGUGAAAUAAGGAAAGCCAGAUUUAGGCGUCCGAAUUUAACAGAAUAAUAGGUUCACCUUCUCUCCUCACCACCCCACCACUUUGAUUCAUGCUGCCACACUUAGUCUCAUUUCUUGUGACACUUUGUUUUACUUUAUAUUACUGGCUCAAGUGUUAGCAAGAUAAACUGUAUCACUGUAGGUUAGCUAUAGCAUAAGAUUGGCUAUGUUAUUUUUUGACAUAAGGAGGUAGCAGAACAUAGGGAUAAAGUGCUUGGCAUCUGGAGUCUGGCAGUCUGAAUUUGAAUUCUAGAGCAGCAAGACAAUAAUAGUUGCUACCUCACAGGGUUAUUGGAGUGAGGAUUUAAUAAGAUAAUGUCUGGCCCAAAGUAAAUGCUCAAUGUGUUUAUGCUAUUAUUAUUAUCAUACGUAUUUUGGGAACUUAAAGGGACAUGAUCACAUUUUAAUUUUUAUCAUGAAUUCAUGUCUUAUUUCCAAGACAGACUUGAAAAAUGGGGAUAUUUGGGACCAAGUAAGACAAAGCACUGGAGACUGAGAAGUAAUGAGCAGGAGAGCUUGGUGGUGCCUCUGAAUGUCCCUCCUGCUUUUCCUUUAGAACUACCAACAGAGAUGUGGCUUCAUGUAUUUUGACACUGGCCUAAUUAGGAUUGUUCCCUUCCUUCGAUAAUACAACAUCUCAAAAGCUGACAUAGUUCUGAAUUUAUGUGUCUUUGUUCUUAAGCCAAAGUGUUGUUCAUAAAAACAAAAUAAAACAGAAACCUCCACAUGAGCCUCCUCAGGGAUCAAGGAUGUCCUUAACACAACUAAAACAGUGCACAUAAUUUUUUGUACAUUGAUAAUGCUUAAUCAAUAUUUGUUGAUGAUGUUAAUAAAGUGACAUAUUUGUUUCCAUGCUUGGAAAAUCUCAGCAGGAUAGACUAGGUUGAGGAGCUGAGUCUAGUCAUUUAACCAGGUCACAAUCCCAUAAAGCAUAGAUGAGCCCAUUUCAUACCUAAUCCAUGAAUUCUACCAACUUAACACUGAUCAUACUUUGACCUGGGUAAUAUUUCCAAUUAGUGGCUCAACAUUUAAAAAGCAGGUAAAAGUGUGGAGAAACUAGACAAUAUUAAAGAGAAAUACCACCACCACCCCCCCAAUUAAGUAAAGGAAAAUAAGAAAGAUUCUUUGAGGAAGGUUUGGAUAAGUUGGUUAGAGAUGGAUAAUGACCAAUGGAAAGAGCUAAUAAUUAGAUCUAGAGAAAGUCUCAGUAAUGAAGAUGUGAAGCAACUGGAAUAAUAUCUUGGGAAGUUAAAGAAAUUCUACCAUCAAAGAUCCCAAACCCAAGAAAUCCAAAGUGUCGUGGCAGCAGCUGUAGCUUGCAGUUCAGUUAGACCCUUGAUAUAUCGCCUGGCAAGAGUGCAUCCUCUUUGGGGACCUGGAACUUCGACCCUGCAGAGCCCAGAGUUACAGAGAUGAAAGCAGCAUGAAAUUUCUGUGGGUCAGUAGGAGUGAUGAUGAGAAUGCGGCCUGGCCAACGCUUUGAUUGCAGCCUUGUGAGACCCUGAGUGGAGGACCCAGAAAAACUGUGCCUGGAUUCCUGAUCCACAAAAACCCUGGAUUCUCACAUCUGCUUUUGCAUUCAUCCAUUGUACUAUGUUGUUUCGCUAAACUAUGUAAAGAGAACCUGGCCUCACAUAGAUAUGUGGUUUGAAAGGUCACAGUGGUUGAUUCUGAGAUCAACCCUAAACACAGUCAGAUACGUUUGAUGGGAAUGUUGGCGUGUGAAGACAGGGCCCUCCUCUGCUGGACUUAUUCCUGAGAGGGUAUAUGGUUUGGCGUUGUUGCAGUCACCUUACAAAAAUGUGAGAGAAAUUUGCCUGAAAUGAGCACCAAGGUCUAGGAGAGAUGGAAAUGGAGAAAGAGAGAGAAACUUUGGUUCUCUUUUCAUCAUCUGAGUUCUGAUAAGCUGCACAUUAAGCCAUAACAGCCCGUUAUUUCUCAGGGCAGUUUAACUGUUCUUGCAGAUUGUUAGGACAUCAUCAGCAAGGCCAAGUACUUGUGGAGGGAAGGGGUUUCGGCACACCGUUGUGGCCGGAGGAGCUCCUGAAACAGUCAGAGCUGUGGAGGACCCAGUGGGUCACAAGCUGGUCAAAAUCCACGGGAAAGUGUAGAGGAUAUUAAAAUAGAUGAAUAAAUGAAUUAAUUUAAUCCUCCACUUGGUUUUGAAUCUCUUUGUUUUUUAGAUAACUGCUCAUGAUGAAAGGAUUGUGGCAAAUGGCUCUCGCAUUUUGUUAGAAAGCAAAUGAAGAAUUUGUUGUUUCUCAUUAUUAGCUGUGUCCUAGGUUCUCGACUCCCCUCCAGACAAAUUUCACCUCACAGGCGAGACUGAAUUUCUGGAGGUGGAUCAAAAAAGAUCUUGCUGGGCUUCCCUGGUGGUGCGGUGGUUGAGAGUCCGCCUGCCAAUGCAGGGGACACGGGUUCGAGCCCUGGUCUGGGAAGAUCCCAGGUGCCGUGGAGCGGCUGGGCCCGUGAGCCACAACUGCUGAGCCUGCGCGUCUGGAGCCUGUGCUCCACAACAAGAGAGGCCGCGACAGUGAGAGGCCUGCGCACCGCGAUGAAGAGUGGCUCCCACUUGCCACAACUAGAGAAAGCCCUCGCACAGAAACGAAGACCCAACACAGCCAAAAAUAAAUAAAUAAAUUAAAAAAAAAAAAA